rnacentral:lncRNA from 1 species
GGUCGACCCGGAGGAUGCCUAAGCCCGAGAAGGAUGUUAGAGGAAGCCAGAGCUCUCGAAAAAGAGGAGGAGAAUCGAGGGAUUCUCUUAAGCAAAGUGAAACCCCUGAAGGAGGAGAACGUGUUUAAAUAGACCCCAGGAUCCGAUGCAAUAAUGAUUGCGGAUCUCCUCUAGCCGGUCUGCAUUCGCCGUGUGUCCCACCCACCUUGACAGACUGUUGGAAACGGCAGGCAGCUAACAAAGUCAUUAUCACGCC